rnacentral:rRNA from 1 species
AUUGAACGCUGGCGGCAUGCCUUACACAUGCAAGUCGAACGGCAGCGGGCCCUUCGGGGUGCCGGCGAGUGGCGAACGGGUGAGUAAUGCAUCGGAACGUACCCGGCAGAGGGGGAUAACCGGCCGAAAGGCUGGCUAAUACCGCAUGAACUCGGAAGAGCAAAGCGGGGGACCUUCGGGCCUCGCGCCCUCGGAGCGGCCGAUGUCCGGUUGUGCUAGUUGGUGGGGUAAAGGCCCACCAAGGCGACGAUCGGUAGCGGGUCUGAGAGGACGAUCCGCCACACGGGGACUGAGACACGGCCCAGACUCCUACGGGAGGCAGCAGUGGGGAAUCUUGGACAAUGGGCGCAAGCCUGAUCCAGCAAUGCCGCGUGGGUGAAGAAGGCCUUCGGGUUGUAAAGCCCUUUCGGCGGGGAAGAAAACGGUCAGGCGAAUAGUCUGGCCGGAUGACGGUACCCGAAGAAGAAGCACCGGCUAACUACGUG